rnacentral:misc_RNA from 1 species
GAUGAAGAACGUAGCGAAAUGCGAUAAGUAGUGUGAAUUGCAGAAUUCAGUGAAUCAUCGAAUCUUUGAACGCACAUUGCGCCCCUUGGUAUUCCAUGGGGCAUGCCUGUUCGAGCGUCAUUUGUACCUUCAAGCUCUGCUUGGUGUUGGGUGUUUGUCUCGCCUCUGCGUGUAGACUCGCCUCAAAACAAUUGGCAGCCGGCGUAUUGAUUUCGGAGCGCAGUACAUCUCGCGCUUUGCUCUCAUAACGACGACGUCCAAAAGUACAUUUUUACACUCUUGACCUCGGAUCAGGUAGGGAUACCCGCUGAACUUAAGCAUAUCAAUAAGCGGAGGA